CACCAGUCUUUCUCCAGCAAAGACAGAGAACCUGGUGGAGUUGGUUUGGAAGCAAAGGUAGUGCUGACCAGAGGCGUGAGCUGUGAAGGUGAAUUUACCAAAUUUACCAAAGCGCUUGGUCAUCACAACCUAGAGAGAAGGAAAGAUGCUGUUAGGCCAACAUUUCUUCAGCUACGAGUCAACAAAAUGGAGACGUGGGUAUUAAUAUUGGCACCAAAGUGGGGGGAGUUGUGGAUUGAAUUCGUAUCCCAAGGCUCCAACAAGAAAUAACCUAAAGGAGGAAUAUUCCCUCUCCGGGACUCACCGGUCACCAGCGUGUCCUCUGGAAUCUCCUCAAUGAUGCACUUUUCCUCCUGUUCUCCCAGAUCAAAAUACAUCGCUGUGGCCAGCA